AUUGAACGCUGGCGGCAGGCCUAACACAUGCAAGUCGAGCGGAACAGCGGAAGGGUGAGUAAUGCCUAGGAAUCUGCCUGGUAGUGGGGGCUAACGUCAGGAAACGGGAGCUAAUACCGCAUACUCUCAGAUGAGGCUACGUCGGAUUCGCUAGUUGGUGGGGCAAAGGCCUACCAAGGCGACGAUCCGUAACUGGGCUGAGUGGAUGAUCAGUCACAUUGUAACUGAGACCGGGUCCAGACUCUGAGUGGAGGCAGCAGUGGGGAAUAUUGGACAAUGGGCGCAAGCCUGAUCCAGCCAUGCGGCGUGUGUGAAGAAGGUCUUCGGAUUGUAAAGCACUUUAAGUUGGGAGGCGUUACCAACAGAAUAAGCACCGGCUAACUGCGUGCCAGCAGCCGCGGUAAUAC
rnacentral:rRNA from 1 species